rnacentral:tRNA from 1 species
UUCCUGGUAGUUCAGAUGGUAAAGAGUCCGCCUGCAAUGUGGGAGACCUGGGUUCGAUCCCUGGUUGGGAAG